UGCGUGCAGUUCUGGUCACCGCACCAUAGGAAGGAUGUGACUGCAUUGGAGAUGGUGCAGAGGAGAUUCACCAGGGAUGGAAUGUCUCAGUGAUGAGAUCUGUUCUCCCGGGAGUGGAGGAGGUGAAGAGGGGACACGAUUGAGGUUCCAAGACGGAAAAUGAGGUCCUGUUCCUCCAGUUUGCGUUGGUUCUCUAAAGCAACAAGCAAUCUGCUGGAGGAAUUCCGUGGGUCGAGCAGCAACCGUGGUGGCUGGGGAAUGGAAUCGUUGACGUUUCAGGUCGAAACCCUGCAUCAGGACUCUUAAAUGCCCUCUGAAAUAGCCCCACAAAUCGUUCAGUUGCAAUAAACUGCUAGAAAGCCACGAAGAAACAAACCUGGAUGGAUUAACUCUCUACCCGACGUAUACUGAACACCUCAAGGACUGCGGUAGCUCACCACCACCUCCUCAAGGGCAACUGGGGACAGGCAAUUAAAUAGUGGCUCAGUCUACGAAGCCCACAUCCCUUGAAAGGAUAAUAAAAAGUCUGUAGAAUUAAAUAGCAGUAUUUCUGCACUUUGCAUCAUAACAUAGUGGGCACGGGCUCUGCAAAGCUGUGCUAGCUGCUUCAAGGUUUUAAUUUUCAAAAACUGCAUGGAUUCAGGGAAGAUUCAAUUAAAUUAGAAAACAGCAAACGUAACCCCUUUAUUCAAAAGAACCCACAGGCAGUUAGCUUAACAUCCAUCGCAGGGAAAAUGUUAGAAGCUAACAUUUGAGACAUUAGAGUAGGGCACUUAAAAAGAAAUUGAGGUAAUCGGUCAACAUCGACAUGGUUUCACGAGAGGAAAAUCAUGGUUGACCAAUUUAGUGGAGUACUUUGAAGUAGUAACACAUGCUGUGCAUAACAUGGAUGUAUGAUGGCUUCUUGCAGAUGAAAAGGUGCUACAGCAAAGUUUAUUAUAGAAACUAAAAGUUCAUGGGAUAGGAUUGGCACAGAUGGAAAUCUGUCUGGCUACACUGCCCUGCCCGAGACUGCAGGAAACUGCGGAGAGCUGUGGACACAGCUCAGCUCAGCACAUCACGGAAACCAGCCUCCCCUCCAUGGACUCCACUUCCCGCUGCCUCAGGAAAGCAGCUGACAUAACCAAAGACCCACCCAACCUGGAUAUUCUCUUUCUACCCCUUCCCAUAGAUACAAAAGUCUGAAAGCAUGUACCACCAGGAUCAAGGACAGCUUCUAUCCCGCAGUGAUAAAACUAUAAGAUGGUCUCUUGACCUCACAAUCUACCUUGUUAUGGCCCUUGCACCUUACUGCCUGCCUGCACUGCACUUUCUCUGUAACACUUUAUUCUGCAUUCUGUUAUUGUUUUCCCUUGUACUACCUCAAUGCGCUGAUGUGAUGAAAUGAUCUGUCUGGAUGGCAUGCAAAACAAAGUUUUUCACCGUACCUCAGUACAUGUGACAAUAAUAAACCAAUUUACCAUUUACCAGGAAACAGAAUAGGCAGAUGGGUCUUCUUCUAUUUGACAAGCUGGAACAGUUCAGUGCCACAGGAUGGUGUUGGGCAUCAAGUUCUUACAAGUGACUUGGACAAAGGCACACGAGGUGUGGUUGUUAAAUUUUCUGAUGACAUAAAGACAGGUGGAAAAGGGAGUGAAGAGGAUUAGGGGUGUUAUAAGGUGAUGUAGAGAGACAAGGGACUGCAGAUGCUGGAAUCUGGAGCAACAAACAAUCUGCUGGAGGAACUCAGCAGGUCGAGCAGCAUCUUAGGGGAAAGGAAUUGUCGAUGAUUCCGAUCGUGUUUUCAGCAUGUCUCCUUUGACCCUCAAGAAUUUUUAUAGAAAGCAUCCUAUCUGGAUGCACCACAGCUUGGUACAGCAACUGCUCUGCCUGAGACUGCAGGAAACCGCAGAGUUGUAGACACAGCCCAACACAUCACGGAAACCAGCCUCCCCUCCAUGGACUCCGUCUACACUUCUCGCUGCCUCAGGAAAACAGCCAGCAUAACCAAAGACCCCUCCACUCUGGUCUCUCUAUUCUUCCCCCUCCCAUCGGGCAGAAGAUACAAAAGCUUAAGAACACGUACCACCAAGCUCAAGGUCAGUUUCUAUCCUGCUGUUACAAGACUCUUGAAUGGAGUUCUUCUAGGAUAAAGAUGGACUCUUGAUCUCAAAAUCCACCUUGCCAUGAUCUUGCACCUUAUUGUCUGCCUGCACUGCAUUUUCUCUGUGACUGUAACACUUUAUUCUGCAUUCUGUUAUUGCUUUUCCCUUUGUACUACCUCAAUGUACUGAUGUUUUGCAAUGAUCUGUCUGGAUGGCACGCAAAACAAAGUUUUUCACUGUACCUCGAUACAUGUGACAAUAAACCAAUUACCGAUACGGAUCAAAACCAAAGAAACAACCAACAGUUCGUAAAAAGCCAACAUUUUGUUUUCCCGCUGUAGAAAUUCUCCACAAAAAUACAGACCACAUGUUCAUAUAUCUGUAUAAAAAUAAAUAAUCCAACUGCCUGGCAUCACACCGCAAUCAAAGUUGCUGCAGCACAUCUGCCCUGAGGCACCGGAGGAAGGUGAGGGACGUGCGCUGGUCAAUGGUGGUCUCAGGCUUUCUCAUCCAGGACCUGCAACAGAACAUCGAGCAUUCAGGAGGGCUCACCACAGGCUCUUACUAACACCAGCUUCCUUCAUCCCUCCCAUGACCUAUUUGUCCCACUGCUGUCUGGCAAGCGGUACCGGAGCAUCCGGGCCAGAACUACUAGACUGUACAACGCUUUUCUCCCCCCAGGCCGUCAGGCUCCUGAAUUCCCUGGAGACAGUUUCAGACAAAUGCCGCGUCAAAAGCCCUGGUUUGCACAACGGCGUAUAAGAACUUUGGCCGCCGUUGAACACGUUUAUACAAUUAGUGCAACACACUGAGUUCUGUAUUUUCUUCGUCCAACUUGGUUUUGCACCAACUCUGCACUAAAUUUGUAUUCUGUAUAUACCGUUCUUUGCAAUAUUUGUACUCCCACAAUUUUUUUGUCUGCGUUAUUGUAUGCCCUCUGUUCUAUGUAUGUCCUCUGUUGUGAGAGUCUGGGGGAUACGACAUUUUGUUCCACCGUGUGUUUUUAUAACAUAUGGGUGAAUGACAAUAAAGUAACUUGAACUUGAACUUUA